GUGCCAGCAGCCGCGGUAAUACGGAGGGUGCAAGCGUUAUUCGGAAUGACUGGGCGUAAAGCGCACGCAGGCGGAUAAGUAAGUCAGAUGUGAAAGCCCCGGGCUUAACCUGGGAAUUGCAUUUGAAACUGCUUGUCUAGAGUAUGUCAGAGGAAGGCGGAACUUCCAGUGUAGCAGUGAAAUGCGUAGAUAUUGGAAAGAACACCGAUGGCGAAGGCAGCCUUCUGGGGCAAUACUGACGCUCAUGUGCGAAAGCGU
rnacentral:rRNA from 1 species